rnacentral:lncRNA from 1 species
GAAGAACGUAAGGGAAGAAGAGAUAUUAUUGGCUGUUGGAACUGUGAAGUCUUCCUAAAGUCUUUCUUUUCUUCAGUAUUCAUAUCGUUGUCUCCACUUUACUCUCUUCCUUCUCAGAUACACGCAGGCAGGCUCACCGAUUUACUGCUAAAAUCUUGAAAAUCCAUUUUUAAGUCUUAAUAGGAUCAUAGAAUUACUCCUCAUUUGUGCUGUUCAAGUUGCUGAUUUCUUCAUUCUCAGCUCAAUCCUACCUGGGAUAGACAUCGGAAAAUUCUCAGGUAUGCCCACGCCCUUCUGGUAAACACGGACGAUCGCACCGUUGCAUAUAAAGGCCUAUUCGUGUGGGCAAAUGUAUAAGUGUAUGUGUAUGCUACAUUUCCCAGUUACUGAUUUACAAGUUUUGGAGUGUGAUCAAUUUCCCCCACUAUUUUUUCGGGUGAUUUUCGUUCUUCCCUGCGUAGGCCGAUCUAAUACUGAGAUUUUUAGAUUCAAAUUUAUUAAUAUUCCCAGUUACUUAUUGACAAAUUUUGGAGUGUGGCCAAUUUCCUCACUCCUUUUCGACUAAUUUUUGUUCUUCAUUUUUCGUUGUGUAGGCUGUGCUGAUACUAGGAUUUAGCUAAGUGGUGGAGAAAAGAUGGGGUUUCUUAAUAUAUUACAGUGUAUUCUUUGCUCUGAGGAAGAGGAUAAGCUUGAGAUUGAAAGGAAUCGGUAUGGAUAUUUUGAAAUUGCUGGCCGGGAUAGUGAUUUUGUUUCUUACAUUUGUUCUAAACUCCAGUGGAUUAGAUUCCGACCAACCAACACCACCACCACCAAUGCAGCAAGAUUUCACUAUGAAAAUAAUCAUCGUUCGUCGAAUGCUUCAUCCAUUCAGUCCCAAGAGACCAUUUUCCAAAGUUCUAUUCGAGUUAAGUCACCUGGAAUUGUUGAUUACAAUUAUAGGUCGAUAGAGUCUGGAAAGAAUAAUACUGAUCAUUCGAAUGUAAUUAAGAGAGAUCAUAAUCCCGAGAGAAAGGUAAACAAGCCCUAUGAAUUUCGUCGUGAUCAGAAUUUGAAAGAUUCUUCCUUAUCCUCGUCAUCAUCAUUCGUGAAAACAGUUCAAACUCUACCUUUCGAUCCUCUGAAGCCGAUUGAAGGGGUUCAAAAGGGAAAAGGAUUAGCCCAGAAAGUAAAUUCAGCUUCUUCGCACGAAUCUCAGUGUUCCUUUAAAUUCCCCAUCACAUUGCAUUCGUCCAGUUCAACCUUAUCAUCAUCUUCUUUGUUAGAAAACUUAAAAGGUUCGGCUCCAGUCACUUCAUCAUCCAUGAAACCAGUUUCAACACGACCUUGGGAACCGCAGAAAUCAAUCGAUGGCUGUCAGAAGGGAAAGGGAUUACCCGAGAAUGUAUCUUCAGCCACUUUUCGAGAAUCUCAGUCUUCUUUUAAAUCACCUGUUGCAUUGCAUUUGGCUAAUUCGUCAUCGGCAUCGUCGUUGUUAGAGAGAUCUCCUUCACCAAAACCACGUCCACUAUCCACAAAACCAACCUUGUUGCCGACCUCGGCUCUGACGUAUCAGCAGGGAACAACUAAUUAUAUAUUGGUUGAGGGUUCAUCUACCUAUGCUUUUUCGGAGGACAUCAAAAGUUUGAUUGAAAAAGAAAUUGUUCCGGGAGUGCUCAAGAAGCCUUUGUCUAUGUCGACGUACAAAAAUUACUUCCAUGCUCUACUUUAUGCCGAGGAUUGUUACCUUGAGGUGAUUAUUCACUUGUCAUAUAGCUUCAAUUGCCAUGUUAUGUUAUUGUUUAUAAUUGUUAUAAUGUAGCAGGAUCAAAUCUUUUAUGUGUCUCAAACUUCAAAGAUAAAGUACAUUGUUAUGCUACGAAAAUGCUAGUAUACAAAUUCAGGGAAAAAGGGAAGUGCAAGAGAAAUAAAGAGCUUCGUGACGGUCCAAAUAUGUUCUGCUUUGCAAAGUAUAGCCUCCUGAGGGUACAAAGUUUUGAUCUUCCUUGUGCCUUGUAUUUGAUUAAAUAUGACCUUUUUUCUAGAAAGUACUACUUCCAUCCCAUAUUUUUUUAUUUUUUUCCCGCCUGUCCCAAAUUAUAGACCACUUUUUUUAUUGAAAGUAUAGAUAUAUAUUUUUUUGUUUUCUAAUAUUCCCCUAUUUAAUAUACAUUGUUAUCAACAAAUAUAAAUUAAUCCUAUUUAAAUCAUUAUUUAAUGUGGGGGUAUAUUAGGAAAAAUGUAAGAAAAAUUUAUAUUUCCAACUAUAUUAAUUACAUUUUCUUUCUGGAGAGUGCUAGAUGUAAAACCUAUUUUUGUACAAAAUGGUUUACUUACACUCGCAAUGGGAGGGUGAGGGCUACAUGUUGGCAUUUUUAAUUUCAUGUGGGGCCCAAGUGUAUGUGAGAGUGAGUAAAACAUUUUGUACAAAUGUGUGCAUACAAAUAUCUUUAUCCUUUCUUAAUUUGUGUGUAAAAUAGUAACAAGCCUGCGACGGAGUUAGUACAAAAUAAGAAAGGGUAAUUUGCCCAUUUAAUUCUUCUUGUUUCUUAAACUUUCUUUGCAUAAGUAGGGGUCACUGGACCCAACCCAAUUUAGAGGGAGAUGUUAGAGAGUAACAACACAAUCUUUCAUUUAAGUCAGAAAGAAUUUUAUCAUUUAGUUUUAGACUUAAGAAAUUUAUGUUAAUUGCUUCGAUUCAGAAUUUUCAGUUUCCUUUAUUGGCUGAGUUUUUCUAGUAACAAACCAAACUCUCGUGUUGCUGGAAGUUCUUUUAGCUCAUAAUCACAGUAUCUGGUUUUAAGUCUUCACACUGUUUUAUGGUGUUCAAAACGGUAAUCUUAUUUAUUUACAAUGAAGUGUUGUCAAAUGGUGAUCCUACCUCAAUCGAUGCUCUGCAUUCCCUAAAACUCAAUAAAAGUAUCAAAAAAUGAUGGUAGUCGGUAGUUGUUCUUCGUGCUUUUUACUUGCUCAAAUGAUAUUUUUAAUCUUCUGACUAGAUAAAUGUUCAGAACCCUAAUCCUUGAAAUAAAAACAAACAAAGAAGCUCUAUAUUUUUAUGGGUUCUUGAAAUCACUGUAUUCCUUUUGUUAGGGAUUUUUUUUGUAUUCUUUCACUCUGACUUCGGUACCUAUAAGUGUGCUCAUUAUAUGUAGAGAAUUAACAUUGUUGUACCACCAUAAUAUCUUCAAUUUGCUUUCUUGGAUCAGAAAUGGGAUGGAUUUGAGAUGAAGAAUGUAAAUCUGGAGUUGCACAAUGCUGAAAUCCUUUUCAAGAUCGGUUAUCUCUCAAGGAAUAAGCAUAAGGAAAAAGAUAAAAAAAUAUUUGUAACAUUUGACGUUGGAAC